AGAUUGAACGCUGGCGGCAUGCCUUACACAUGCAAGUCGAACGGUAGAGUAGCAAUACUUGAGAGUGGCGAACGGGUGAGUAAUAUAUCGGAACGUGCCCAGUCGUGGGGGAUAACGUAGAGAAAUUUACGCUAAUACCGCAUACGAUCUAAGGAUGAAAGCGGGGGACCGUAAGGCCUCGCGCGAUUGGAGCGGCUGAUAUCAGAUUAGGUUGUUGGUGAGGUAAAAGCUCACCAGGCCGACGAGUCUGUAGCUGGUUUGAGAGAACGACCAGCCACACUGGGACUGAGACACGGCCCAGACUCCCUACGGGAGGCAGCAGUGGGGGAAUUUGGACAAGUGGGCGAAAGCCUG
rnacentral:rRNA from 1 species